CAUUUACAAAGGUGCUUUUGUAUAAGCUCAUCUGACUUCUCCAUGGCCAAGGGGGAGAUCUACUAAUUGGCUUUUUACCAUUAUAGAAAAAGAAUUGUGGCGAGCCAUUUGGGUUGAUCCUAACUGAAAAGUCCCCGAACCCAGGGUCUUCGGCUGAUCUCCACGAUGUUAGGAACCGAUCAAUUCCUAAUUUUCGAUCCAGCCCCAGUUUCAUUCCAGGAAGCAGGAUGUUCGUAGGAUAAUCGAAGCUUUGCCAUACAGUUUUUCUGCUUCUUUUCCUGACCAAUAUCAAAUUUCCUGAAUCCAAGAGUUGAGCUGCACAAGUAUCAUUUUCUUCCACUGAAACAUUUGAAGACCACACAGGAAGCUUUUGGUCAUCGUUUCCAUAGAGAACGAGGUUUCCAUAUUGAUUUAUAAAGAGAACUCCAGAGGAACCAAUGAUUGGAUCGUUCCUGUUUGCAACCCACACCACAGUUUGUUCUGGUAUUUUAUGGUACCAAAUUCCAAGAUAUCUAUUGCUAGAACUACCUGGACUGAAAAAUCCCAGUGCGAAAUUAUUUCCUUUGGAGAUAAGAAGGUCACCUUCUUUAAUGGUUUGGUUCGUCUUUAAGGAGUCUUGGGAUGUACAAGAUGAGAAUUGGAGCAUUAAAAGAGAAAAAAGCAGGAACAGUUUUUCA